rnacentral:misc_RNA from 1 species
GAGAAUUACCAGCCCCAGCUUAAAACUCAAGAGACUUGGCGGUGCUCUAUACCCACCUAGAGGAGCCUGUUCUAUAAUCGAUAACCCCCGAUCUACCUCACCAUCUCUUGCAUAUCCGCUUAUAUACCGCCGUCGUCAACCCACCCUUUGAGGGAGACAUAGUAGGUUUAAUGUUUAACCACCAACACGUCAGGUCAAGGUGUAGCUAAUGAAAUGGGAAGAAAUGGGCUACAUUUUCUAACUUAGAUAAUACGAAAAAUUAUAUGAAAUCCAAUUAGAAGGAGGAUUUAGUAGUAAAAAGAAAUCAACAAGUUCUUUUUAAUAUGGCUCUAGAGCACGUACAUACCGCCCGUCACCCUCUUCAACCGUCUUACUAACAUUUUAUAAAUAAUCAAGAAAAUCAAGAAGAGAUAAGUCGUAACAUGGUAAGCCCACCGGAAGGUGUGCUUGGAAUUAAAUGCAUCUUUUUCAACUUCUGUAUAAAAGAAGUCCCUACCUAUUAAAUUAGGACAUUUUUUUAUCCGCCCUCUAGCCUGAUCAAACUCCUACAAAAUACACUCCUCUUUAAUAAUAAACAAAACAUUUUUAACCUCAAGUAUCUGAGACAGAAAAAGAAUUCAGAGCAAUACUACUAGUACCGCAAGGGAAACAUGAAAUAAAAAUGAAAUAACCUAAAAUACAUCAAAGCAAAGAUUAAAUCUUGUACCUUUUGCAUCAUGAUCUAACCAGAUAUUGUGAGCAAAGUGACCUUUAGUUCAUUACCCCGAAUCUAGGUGAGCUACUCCAAGGUAACUAAUGAGUUAACCCAUCUCUGUGGCAAAAGAGUGGGAUGACCUUCGAGUAGAGGUGAUAUGCCUAUCGAACCUAGUGAUAGCUGGUUGCUCGGGAAAAGAAUAUUAGUUCUCUCUUAAGAACUUCUCAGCACUAAUAAGCAAAAACCUCUUAAGAAUUAUUCAAUUAGGGUACAGCCUAAUUGAAAAAAGAUACAACUUCAACUUUAGGUUAAUGACACACCUUCCCAUAAGAUCAAGUCGGCUUAAAAGCAGCCACCUUAAAAAAGCGUCAAAGCUUAGUCUAAAACCUUACUAAUCCCUUAACUCCAUCAUAACCCAAUAACACUACUGAGCUGCCCUAUACCUUUAUAGGAGUAUUUAUGUUAGAACUAGUAACACAGAAAACCUUCUCCUGCUUAUAAGUGUAAAUCAAUUCGAAUACCUCAUUGAUAAUUACUCAGUUGAACCCAAAGUAAUAACCACUUCCCACGAAAACCUUACUUUUACCCACUGUUAAUCUAACACAAGAAUAUGAAGGAAAGAUUUUAAGACCCGGAAGGAACUCGGCAAACACUAGUCCCGCCUGUUUACCAAAAACACCGCCUUUUGCCUGAUAUAAAAGGUAAUGCCUGCCCGGUGACAUUUGUUCAACGGCCGCGGUAUUUUAACCGUGCUAAGGUAGCGUAAUCACUUGUCUUCUAAAUAAAGACUAGUAUGAACGGCGUCACGAGAACUAAACUGUCUCCCCCCUCUAAUCAGUGAAACUGAUCUUCCCGUGCAGAAGCGGGAAUAAAAACAUAAGACGAGAAGACCCUGUGGAACUUUAAACCUACCAUCAUCUGCUUUCUACUUCUAUCCUAACAAUAACGCAGACUGAUCUAAGUUUUCAGCUGGGGCGUCUAUGGAGAAAAAACCACCCUCCAUGAUGAACUAAUCCAAGAGAUUCCUCUCUAAGCAUUAAUACUCUUAACUAUACUUGACCCAAUCAUAUUGACCAACGGACCAAGUUACCCCAGGGAUAACAGCGCAAUCCACUUCUAGAGUCCUUAUCGACAAGUGGGUUUACGACCUCGAUGUUGGAUCAGGGCGCCCUAGUGGUGCAGCCACUACUAAAGGUUCGUUUGUUCAACGAUUAAAACCCU